UACGUAGGUGGCAAGCGUUGUCCGGAUUUACUGGGCGUAAAGAGCGCGCAGGCGGUCGUGCAAGUCGCGUGUGAAAGCCCCCGGCUCAACUGGGGAGGGUCACGCGAUACUGCUCGACUUGAAGGCAGGAGAGGGAAGUGGAAUUCCUGGUGUAGCGGUGAAAUGCGCAGAUAUCAGGAAGAACACCCGUGGCUAAGGCGGCUCUCUAGUACGGUACUGACGCUGAGACGCGAAAGCGUGGGGAGCGAACAGG
rnacentral:rRNA from 1 species